ACCGAGAGGGGCCGAAGACCUGCUAACUCUUUAAUCUGGCAAAU
rnacentral:tRNA from 5 species